rnacentral:rRNA from 1 species
UGGGGAAUUUUGGACAAUGGGGGCAACCCUGAUCCAGCAAUGCCGCGUGAGUGAAGAAGGCCUUCGGGUUGUAAAGCUCUUUUGUCAGGGAAGAAACGGUAGUAGCGAAUAACUAUUACUAAUGACGGUACCUGAAGAAUAAGCACCGGCUAACUACGUGCCAGCAGCCGCGGUAAUACGUAGGGUGCAAGCGUUAAUCGGAAUUACUGGGCGUAAAGCGUGCGCAGGCGGUUGUGUAAGUCAGAUGUGAAAUCCCCGGGCUCAACCUGGGAAUUGCAUUUGAGACUGCACGGCUAGAGUGUGUCAGAGGGGGGUAGAAUUCCACGUGUAGCAGUGAAAUGCGUAGAUAUGUGGAGGAAUACCGAUGGCGAAGGCAGCCCCCUGGGAUAACACUGACGCUCAUGUACGAAAGCGUGGGGAGCAAACAGGAUUAGAUACCCAAGUAGUCCCUGAGCGGGCUGGCAAGGCGCAU